UAGGGAAUCUUCGGCAAUGGUGGGAACCCUGACCGAGCAACGCCGCGUGAGUGAAGAAGGUUUUCGGAUCGUAAAGCUCUGUUGUUAAGGAAGAACGAGUGUGAGAAUGGAAAGUUCAUGCUGUGACGGUACUUAACCAGAAAGGGACGGCUAACUACGUGCCAGCAGCCGCGGUAAUACGUAGGUCCCGAGCGUUGUCCGGAUUUAUUGGGCGUAAAGCGAGCGCAGGCGGUUAGAUAAGUCUGAAGUUAAAGGCAGUGGCUCAACCAUUGUAGGCUUUGGAAACUGUUUAACUUGAGUGCAGAAGGGGAGAGUGGAAUUCCAUGUGUAGCGGUGAAAUGCGUAGAUAUAUGGAGGAACACCGGUGGCGAAAGCGGCUCUCUGGUCUGUAACUGACGCUGAGGCUCGAAAGCGUGGGGAGCGAACAGG
rnacentral:rRNA from 1 species